CCUAUGAUGACGGUACCGUUUGUAAGCUCCGGCUAACUCCGUGCCAGCAGCCGCGGUAAUACGGGGGGAGCAAGCGUUGUUCGGAUUUACUGGGCGUAAAGGGCGCGUAGGCGGUCAGCACAAGUCAGUUGUGAAAUCUCCGAGCUUAACUCGGAAAGGUCAACUGAUACUGUGCGACUAGAGUGCGGAAGGGGCAACUGGAAUUCUUGGUGUAGCGGUGAAAUGCGUAGAUAUCAAGAGGAACACCUGCGGCGAAGGCGGGUUGCUGGGCCGACACUGACGCUGAGGCGCGAAAGCCAGGGGAGCGAACGGGAUUAGAUACCCCGGUAGUCCUGGCCUUAAACGAUGAAUGCUUGGUGUCUGGGGUUAUAAAGUCCCCGGGUGCCGUCGCUAACGCUUUAAGCAUUCCGCCUGGGGAGUACGGUCGCAAGACUGAAACUCAAAGG
rnacentral:rRNA from 1 species